rnacentral:rRNA from 1 species
AGAGUUUGAUCAUGGCUCAGAACGAACGCUGGCGGCAGGCCUAACACAUGCAAGUCGAAGGAGAAGUUUCUCUUCGGAGAGAUGGACACUGGCGCACGGGUGAGUAACGCGUGGGAAUCUACCCCGGGGUGGGGGACAACCGCUGGAAACGGCGGCUAAUACCGCAUACGCCUUGAGAGGGAAAGCUUUAGCGCCCUGGGAUGAGCCCGCGUUAGAUUAGGUAGUUGGUGGGGUAAUGGCCUACCAAGCCUUCGAUCUAUAGCUGGUCUGAGAGGAUGAUCAGCCACACUGGGACUGAGACACGGCCCAGACUCCUACGGGAGGCAGCAGUGGGGAAUAUUGGACAAUGGGGGCAACCCUGAUCCAGCCAUGCCGCGUGCGUGAAGAAGGCCUUAGGGUUGUAAAGCGCUUUCACUGGUGAAGAUGAUGACGGUAGCCAGAGAAGAAGCCCCGGCUAACUCCGUGCCGGCAGCCGCGGUAAUACGGAGGGGGCAAGCGUUGUUCGGAAUUACUGGGCGUAAAGGGCGCGUAGGCGGAAUAUCAAGUUAGGGGUGAAAGGCCUGGGCUCAACCUAGGAACGGCCUCUAAAACUGAUAAUCUAGAGUCCGGAAGAGGAUGGCGGAAUUCCUAGUGUAGAGGU